rnacentral:tRNA from 1 species
UACUAUUACUUUGGCAGAAUAGUGCGAUGAAUUUAGAUUUCAUUAAUGUAAAAUUUUACAAGUAAUA